rnacentral:rRNA from 1 species
AACGUAGGACGCAAGCGUUAUCCGGAGUUACUGGGCGUAAAGGGCAGGCAGGCGGGUCGAUAAGUCGGAUGUGAAAUCUCCCUGGCUUAACCGGGAGAGUGCAUUUGAGACUGUCAACCUGGAGGGCAGCAGAGGAGCGUGGAAUUCCGGGUGGAGUGGUGAAAUGCGUAGAGAUCCGGAGGAACACCAGAGGCGAAAGCGGCGCUCUGGGCUGAUCCUGACGCUGAAGCGCGAAAGCCAGGGGAGCGAACAGG